UACGAAGGGGGCUAGCGUUGCUCGGAAUCACUGGGCGUAAAGCGCACGUAGGCGGCUUUUUAAGUCAGGGGUGAAAUCCUGGAGCUCAACUCCAGAACUGCCUUUGAUACUGAGAGGCUUGAGUCCGGGAGAGGUGAGUGGAACUGCGAGUGUAGAGGUGAAAUUCGUAGAUAUUCGCAAGAACACCAGUGGCGAAGGCGGCUCACUGGCCCGAUACUGACGCUGAGGUGCGAAAGCGUGGGGAGCAAACAGG
rnacentral:rRNA from 1 species